rnacentral:rRNA from 1 species
UACCAGCACCCCGAGUGGUCGGGACGAUUAUUGGGCCUAAAGCAUCCGUAGCCGGUCUUGCAAGUCUUCCGUUAAAUCCAGCUGCUUAACAGAUGGGCUGCGGAAGAUACUACAAGACUAGGAGGUGGGAGAGGCAAGCGGUACUCAGUGGGUAGGGGUAAAAUCCGUUGAUCCAUUGAAGACCACCAGUGGCGAAGGCGGUUUGCCAGAAUGCGCUCGACGGUGAGGGAUGAAAGCUGGGGGAGCAAACCGG